rnacentral:lncRNA from 1 species
AUGUGCUGUUUAGGGUGGGUCUCACUGAGUCCGUGUCAACCUGCUUUCACUGCUCCAUUAAUAAUGAAGUUCUUCUCUGGAUAUUGUGCUCAUUUCUUCAGCAAGGAUGGAAUCGAGGCAUACACACUUAUUCUCAUAGGUGGAGGAAACUUGUGCAUUUCUGAUAGAUGUUUUCAUGUGUUGUCUGUUGAAGUCUGUUUCAUAUGCACUUAUUAUUUUUCACCAGGUAUUUCAGUUUUGCAUCCAAGGAUGGAUGCUCUAGAAAAGCUUGAUGAACCGGUUCUGUCAGGUCCGUCUGCUGCAUCAGAAGGUUCAGUUGUGGAUUUCUUCUGUGAUAUUCCUGGGAAACCAGCAGCAUUGUCUGUACACUAAGAGCUCUAUGUUGAGUCAAACCAGGGUGAGAUGAUUGGGGAGUGCUCCUCGCUCUCUGGAGAAAAAGCCACUAUUUCUCAGGUUAUCAGAAAACAACAUGACGCUAGACUCAUCUACAAGGCCAGCGGACACAAUAACACUCAGAGUCAUUGGUGAGGUGUGUGACAUGAGUGUAAUCAUAUUAAGCAAUUUCUGUCCUCUAAAUGAUCAACAUGAUCAAACUUAGCUUUUGCACACAAUCUCCUCAUGUCUUCUGUCUCUGAUUGAUAGUUUAGAGUGUUUUAUCCAGUAAAAGCUCUUUUAGUGUAAUCUGCUUCAGCUACUGCUUCUGGUGUCAGAUCUUGAGUGAUUUUGAUCAAGUAAAGGUCAGAAUAACUGCAGUAAUAUCUCCAGAUGAACUCUUACUGGACUGAAGCAGCUCAGCUUUACUUGAUUCUCCAUCAAUCAUGUUUUAGAGUCUCAAAUCUGAUCAUCAGGAUCUUUUGAGGAGCGUUUGUUUCCUAGAAGCUUUACUUUCACUGUUCCUCAGCGGAGGAAUGAUCUUCACAAGCCUCCAGAACAUCUCACAUCUUCUGAGGAGCCUUUAUUCUUCAUCUCUCAAUCUCAAAAUUUCGUCACAGAGAUAUCAGCAUCUGCAGCAAAUUCAUAUUUUUGAAUUUGUUUGAGUCUCUGAAUAAAAUUGGGGUUGUUUUUUCCUUCAUAUUCUCACUGUAUCAGACUAUAUGAGCUGUAAAAGCCUGAUGGAUCAAAUAUGAUCUGUGAUUUGCAGUUCCAGUGGGGGAAGUUUGAAGAAACUUUUGAUUUCUUCUGUAUGUCGAGAGUAUUUUCUGAUUUAUGGAGUGAUAAUUUGCUUCCAUAACUUGUCUAUCAUAUGUAAAGAAACAUCCAAAUUACAAUUAAAGUGUUUAUUACACUUUUCUCUACACUACUUAAAAAUAAAGGUGACUUUAAAAUCUUCUUCCCAGCA